rnacentral:rRNA from 1 species
AUUGAACGCUGGCGGAAUGCUUUACACAUGCAAGUCGAACGGCAGCACGGGGGCAACCCUGGUGGCGAGUGGCGAACGGGUGAGUAAUACAUCGGAACGUGCCCAGUCGUGGGGGAUAACUACGCGAAAGCGUAGCUAAUACCGCAUACGAUCUACGGAUGAAAGCGGGGGAUCGCAAGACCUCGCCCGAUUGGAGCGGCCGAUGGCAGAUUAGGUAGUUGGUGGGGUAAAGGCCUACCAAGCCAUCGAUCUGUAGCUGGUCUGAGAGGACGACCAGCCACACUGGGACUGAGACACGGCCCAGACUCCUACGGGAGGCAGCAGUGGGGAAUUUUGGACAAUGGGCGCAAGCCUGAUCCAGCCAUUCCGCGUGCAGGAUGAAGGCCUUCGGGUUGUAAACUGCUUUUGUACGGAACGAAAAGGCUCUCUCUAAUACAGGGGGCUCAUGACGGUACCGUAAGAAUAAGCACCGGCUAACUACGUGCCAGCCGCCGCUGUAACAC